AUUGAACGCUGGCGGCAUGCCUUACACAUGCAAGUCGAACGGCAGCGGGGACUUCGGUCCGCCGGCGAGUGGCGAACGGGUGAGUAAAGUAUCGGAACGUACCUUUCAGUGGGGGAUAACGUAGCGAAAGUUACGCUAAUACCGCAUAUUCUGUGAGCAGGAAAGCAGGGGAUCGCAAGACCUUGCGCUGAUUGAGCGGCCGAUAUCAGAUUAGCUAGUUGGUGAGGUAAAGGCUCACCAGGGCGACGCUCUGUAGCGGGUCUGAGAGGAUGAUCCGCCACACUGGAACUGAGACACGGUCCAGACUCCUACGGGAGGCAGCAGUGGGGAAUUUUGGACAAUGGGGGCAACCCUGAUCCAGCCAUGCCGCGUGAGUGAAGAAGGCCUUCGGGUUGUAAAGCUCUUUCGGCCGGGAGGAAAUCGCACAGGCUAAUACCCUGUGUGGAUGACAGUACCGGAAUAAGAAGCACCGGCUAACUACGUGCCAGCCGCCGCCGUAA
rnacentral:rRNA from 1 species